AGACAAUCCAUCAAAACCAGUGUGAAUGUUAAACCAUAGUAAGAAUGGGCAGAGAAAAGAAUAUUCUGAUAGUGUAAAUGUAAAUUCAAUAAUAAGAAUGAGCAGAGAAAGGAAGCUCUGACAGUGUAAAUGUAAAUUCAAUAGCAGAGAAUAAAAUACUCAGACCUGUCUGACUGGAGCAGCAAAGAAAGAAGGAAUGAUGCAAUAGGAAGGGCCUUUUAUCCCUAUGGCAAUGUUUUUUUCACUAAACUUUAUUGUUAAACCUGUG